UCCCUGGUAGCUCAGAGGUUAAAGCGUCUGCCUGCAAUGCGGGAGACCUGGGUUUGAUCCCUGGGUUGGGAA
rnacentral:tRNA from 1 species